rnacentral:rRNA from 1 species
CUACGUAGGGGGCGAGCGUUGUCCGGAAUGAUUGGGCGUAAAGGGCGCGUAGGCGGCCCGGUAAGUCUGGAGUGAAAGUCCUGUUUUUAAGAUGGGAAUUGCUUUGGAUACUGUCGGGCUUGAGUGCAGGAGAGGUAAGUGGAAUUCCCAGUGUAGCGGUGAAAUGCGUAGAGAUUGGGAGGAACACCAGUGGCGAAGGCGACUUACUGGACUGUAACUGACGCUGAGGCGCGAAAGUGUGGGGAGCAAACAGGAUUAGAUACCCUGGUAGUCCACACUGUAAACGAUGAAUGCUAGGUGUAGGGGGUAUCGACCCCUUCUGUGCCGCAGUCAACACAAUAAGCAUUCCGCCUGGGGAGUACGGCCGCAAGGUUGAAACUCAAAGGAAUUGGCGGGG